rnacentral:lncRNA from 1 species
CUUCAGAAAACCGGGCUCAGGGCGGCUAACAACAAAUUAAAACACUUAAUUGAUGCAACAAAAAACAGCAUAAAAUACAGUAUAAAAUGUGAAUAACAAUAAAUUCAGAAUUCAAAAAUCAAUUUAGGGGGGAAAUCCAUCCAAUAAACAUUAGAUGAUCACCAGGGCUAGCUGGCUAAAUUAGUCCUAUUUGGACCAGCAUGGAGACCAGGGGAGAAUUAGCUGUGGGAUCCCAGAGCUAAGAGGAAGGCACGCUUGGCAAAUCCACACCGUGAUCAACUCCUGCCCAGAAACCAAUGUCCCCACUGUGGAAGGACGUGUGGAUCCAGAAUUGGCCUCCACAGACACUUACGGACUCACUGUUAAGACUGUGUUCAUGGAAGACAAUCUUACUCAGCUACGAGGGAUCGCCAAAGAAGAAGAAGGAAAAGUUUGCUGAUGAUUCCACAUUAUUUAGGGUUACUGGAACUAAAAGAGAUUGUGAAGAGCUCCGAAAGCGCUCUGAGUCAAUGGGCAGUAAAAUGGUGAAUGCAGAUCAGUGUAAACAAGUCUAGAGUAAUGCGUAUCAGGCCUAGAUAUCUUCAUUUCAGAUAUACAGUCCUGGUUGUAGGUCUGAGCCCCACGUUGGGCAAAAAGAUUCCUACAUUGCAGGGGAUUGGACUAGAUCACCCUGGUGGCUCCUUCCAACUCUAUGAUUCUAUGACCACUGUUAUGUACUGAGUGAAUAGGAUCCAGAAUGCAGCAGUCUGAUUGGUCCUAGAACAAUAGGAUCCAGAAUGCAGCAGUCUGAUUGGUCCUAGAACAAUAGGAUCCAGAAUGCAGCAGUCUGAUUGGUCCGCAGGAGCCACCCAAACCAACUCCGGGUGGAAGUGAAUCCGCAACCUGAUUGGCCUACAGGAGAAUCCCAGAAUUAGCCAAUCACGUGGGGCCCAUUGUGGAAAUAAUGUAUAUAAAGCAGACAUUUUGGGGGAACUUCCAUUCCUCACUACUCUGAGCUGAAUAAAGAGCAUGAAGUCCACACUUGACUCCGAGUAUAUUUCAACCAUUAUCCUCAUAAGAAAUGUGGAAUGGCUAUGGUCUGAACUGGCAGUGAUGGACCAGGAACAAGAACUUGGAGUUAUAGGAGAUAUCUGAUGAAGAUGUUGGCCCGGUGUCCAGCAGCGGUGAAAAGGGUAAAACUGAUGCUAGGGAUCAUUAGGAAAGGAAAAUAAAACUGCCAAUAGAAGAAUGCUGCUGUACAGAUCUAUGGAGUGACCACAUUUGGAAUACUAUGUACAGUUCUGGUUGCCGCAUCUGAAAAAGGAUAUGGUAGAGUUGGAGAAGGGUUGGGAAAAUGCAACCCAAAUGAUCAAGGGGGUGGAGUGACUCUUCCAGGGGCGCUGACUUGCUGACAUUGAGGGGGCCCAGAAUCACAUCCCAUGUCCCGCUCCUGCCCAUCGCACCAGCGGCAGGGAUUGGGGAGCGCAGAGGGUGAUUUUCACUCUCUGCAUGUUCUGCCCCCAUCUCAUGAGUGAGCCUUUGCCUAGCAGUAACAACAACAACAACAUAUUAUUUAUACCUCGCCCAUCUGGCUGGGUUUCCCCAGCCUGGGCAACUCCUAACAGAAUAUUAAAAACACAAUAAAACAUCAAAUGUUAAAAACCUGAAGCUGAGGCUGCAAUACUUUGGCCACCUCAUGAGAAGAGAAGACUACCUGGAAAAGACCCUGAUGUUGGGAAAGAUGGAGGGCACAAGGAGAAGGGGACGACAGAGGACGAGAUGGUUGGAUAGUGUUCUCGAAGCUACCAGCAUGAGUUUGACCAAACUCCGGGAGGCAGUGGAAGACAGGAGUGUCUGGUGUGCUCUGGUCCAUGGGGUCACGAAGAGUGGGACACGACUAAAUGACUAAACAACAACAACAACAACAAACAGGGCUGCCUUCAGAUGUCUUCUAAAAGUCAGAUACAGUGGUACCUUGGGUUACGAACAGUCCUGCUUAUGGAUGCUUCGGGUUAUGAACUCCAAAAACCCAGAAGUAGGUGUUCCGGGUUACAAAAUUUGCCCCAGGAUACGAACGCAAUCUGCUUCUGGGGCCACUGCAGGUUAAGAACGGACUUCCAGAACAAAUUAAAUUCAUACCCUGAGGCACCACUGUAGUUGUUUAUUUCUUUGACAUCUGAUGGGAGGGCGCUACUAGCAAGAAGGCCCUCUGCCUGGUUCCCUGUAACCUCACUUCUCACAGUGAGGGAACCUCCAGAAGGCCCUCAGAGCUGGACCUCUGUGUCCGUGAUGGAAUAUGGGGGUGGAGACGCUCCUUCAGGUAUACUGGGCCAAGGCCGUAGCGGGGGAUGGCAACCCCUUCAAUAUUGGGGUGGGGACUCGGUCCUCUGCCCACAGAUAUUGAGGGGGCCAAAGCCCAUGCUGCCCCCUAGAGUUGGUGACCCUGGAUUCUCCUAUGGGGAAAGGUUGAAGCAUUUGGGAUGUUAAACCACAGAGCCUAGGACUUGCGGAUCAGAAGGUUGGCGGUUCGAAUCCCUGCGAUGGAGUGAACUCCCAUUGUUCAGUCCCUGCUCCUGCCAACCUAGCAGUUCAAAAGUACGUCAAAGUGCAAGUAGAUAAAUAGGUACCACUCCAGUGGGAAGGUAAACGGCAUUUCUGAGCGCUGCUGUGGUUCGCCAGAAGUGGCUUAGUCAUGCUGGCCACAUGACCCGAAAGCUGUACGCCAGCUCCCUCAGCCAAUAAAGCGAGAUGAGCGCCACAACCCCAGAGUCGUCCGCGACUGGACCUAAUGGUCAGGGGUCCCUUUACCUUUACCUAGCUUAGAGAAAAGGCAAGUAAGGGAUGACAUGAUAGGAACUGAGGGAACUAUGCACGGCAUGUAGAAAGCGGCAAGAGAAAAGACCCCCCUCUCUCUCACAACACUAGAACUUGUAGGCAUCCAAUGAAGAUGAAACUUGGAAGUUACAGCAGGGGAGAGGCAACUGUGGUUGUCAACUGUGAGAACAGGAUUCUGCAUGAGAUGGGCCAUUGGCCUGUUCCAACAGACUCUUCUCAUGUUCUUAUAAACCUGGGACCUUCUGCAUCAAACCUCUACCACUGAAGCUCUACC